rnacentral:rRNA from 1 species
UACGAAGGGGGCUAGCGUUGUCCGGAAUCAUUGGGCGUAAAGGGUGCGUAGGUGGCGCGCUAAGUCAGGUGUGAAAUCUCGGGGCUUAACUCCGAAACUGCAUUUGAUACUGGCGUGCUUGAGGACUGGAGAGGAGACUGGAAUUCAUGGUGUAGCAGUGAAAUGCGUAGAGAUCAUGAGGAAGACCAGUGGCGAAGGCGGGUCUCUGGACAGUUCCUGACACUGAGGCACGAAGGCCAGGGGAGCAAACGGG